rnacentral:rRNA from 1 species
UGGGGGAUAUUGCACAAUGGGCGAAAGCCUGAUGCCGCGACGCCGCGUGGGGGAUGAAGGCCUUCGGGUUGUAAACUUCUUUUGCUCUGAACAAGGCAUGCCUUUGGGGUGUGUUGAGUGUAGGGGUUGAUUAGCGCCGGCUAACUACGUGCCAGCAGCCGCGGUAAUACGUAGGGCGCGAGCGUUGUUCGGAAUUAGUGGGCGUAAAGGGCUUGUAGGUGGCUGGUUGCGUCUGUCGUGAAAGCUCAUGGCUUAACUGUGGGUUUGCGGUGGGUACGGGCUGGCUUGAGUGCAGUAGGGGAGGCUGGAAUUCCUGGUGUAGCGGUGGAAUGCGCAGAUAUCAGGAGGAAUACCGGUGGCGAAGGCGGGUCUCUGGGCUGUUACUGACGCUGAGGAGCGAAAGCGUGGGGAGCGAACAGG